UCCCUGCUGGCUCAGUAAAGAAUCUGCCUGCAAUGCAGGAGACCUGGGUUUGAUUCCUGGGUUGGGAA
rnacentral:tRNA from 1 species